rnacentral:rRNA from 1 species
AAGUCGAGCGAGAAGACGUAGCAAUACGUUUGUAAAGCGGCGAACGGGUGAGGAAUACAUGGGUAACCUACCCUCGAGUGGGGAAUAACUAGCCGAAAGGUUAGCUAAUACCGCAUACGACUCCUGGUCUGUGGAUCGGGAGGGAAAGCGAUACCGUGGGUAUCGCGCUCUUGGAUGGGCUCAUGUCCUAUCAGCUUGUUGGUGAGGUAAUGGCUCACCAAGGCUUCGACGGGUAGCUGGUCUGAGAGGACGAUCAGCCACACUGGCACUGCGACACGGGCCAGACUCCUACGGGAGGCAGCAGUAAGGAAUAUUGCGCAAUGGGCGACAGCCUGACGCAGCGACGCCGCGUGGGGGAUGAAGGUCUUCGGAUUGUAAACCCCUUUCGGCAGGGAAGAUGGAACGGGUAACCGUUCGGACGGUACCUGCAGAAGCAGCCACGGCUAACUUCGUGCCAGCAGCCGCGGUAAUACGAAGGUGGCAAGCGUUGUUCGGAUUUACUGGGCGUACAGGGAGCGUAGGCGGUUGGGUAAGCCCUUCGUGAAAUCUCCGGGCCUAACCCGGAAAGUGCGGAGGGGACUGCUCGGCUAGAGGAUGGGAGAGGAGCGCGGAAUUCCCGGUGUAGCGGUGAAAUGCGUAGAGAUCGGGAGGAAGGCCGGUGGCGAAGGCGGCGCUCUGGAACAUUUCUGACGCUGAGGCU